GACGAACGCUGGCGGCGUGCCUAAUACAUGCAAGUCGAGCGAUGAAGAUUGGUGCUUGCACCUAUUUGAAGAGCAGCGAACGGGUGAGUAACGCGUGGGUAAUCUGCCUUUGAGCGGGGGACAACAUUUGGAAACGAAUGCUAAUACCGCAUAACAACUUUAAACAUAAGUUUUAAGUUUGAAAGAUGCAAUUGCAUCACUCUAUGAUGAUCCCGCGUUGUAUUAGCUAGUUGGGUAGGUAAAGGCCCAACAAGGCGAUGAUACCUAGCCGGCCUGGGAGGGUGAACCGCCACAAUGGGACCUGAAACAGGGCCCAACCCCCUCGGGAGGCAACAGGAAGGAAACCUCGGGCAAGGACCGAAGGCUUGACGGACAACCGCGGGUGAGUGAAGGAGGUUCUCCGAUUAGAAAACUCUUUUGAUAGAGGAGAACGAUAGUGAGAGUGGAAUGCUCACCAAGUGACGGUAACUACCCAGAAAGCGACGGCUAACUACGUG
rnacentral:rRNA from 1 species